AGCGGCGCACGGGUGAGUAAUACGUAGGUAACCUGCCCUCAAGUUUGGGACAACUUGUCGAAAGACGGGCUAAUACCGGAUAAGACCACGGGAGCCGAGGCUCCUGGGGUCAAAGGUGGCCUCUGCUUGCAAGCUAUCGCUUGAGGAUGGGCCUGCGCGCCAUUAGCUAGUUGGUGAGGUAACGGCUCACCGAGGCAGAGAUGGCUAGCUGGUCUGAGAGGAUGACCAGCACACUGGGACUGAGACACGGCCCAGACUCCUACGGGAGGCAGCAGUGGGGAAUAUUGCGCAAUGGGCGAAAGCCUGACGCAGCGACGCCGCGUGGGUGAUGAAGGCCUUCGGGUCGUAAAGCCCUGUCGGGAGGGACGAAACAUCGGCGCUCUAAUACAUCGCCGACCUGACGGUACCUCCUAAGGAAGCACCGGCUAACUCCGUGCCAGCAGCCGCGGUAAUACGGAGGGUGCAAGCGUUGUUCGGAAUUACUGGGCGUAAAGCGCGUGUAGGCGGCACUCUAAGUCUGGUGUGAAAGCCCGGGGCUUACCCCCGGAAGUGCAUUGGAUACUGGAGUACUAGAGUACCGGAGAGGAGGGUGGAAUUCCUGGUGUAGCGGUGAAAUGCGUAGAUAUCAGGAAGAACACCGGUGGCGAAGGCGGCCCUCUGGACGGAUACUGACGCUGAGACGCGAAAGCGUGGGGAGCAA
rnacentral:rRNA from 1 species